rnacentral:rRNA from 1 species
CCCUUAGAUGUUCUGGGCCGCACGCGCGCUACACUGACGAAUGCAACGAGCUUAUAACCUUGGCCGAAAGGUCUGGGUAAUCUCCAAAUUUCGUCGUGAUGGGGAUAGAUUAUUGCAAUUAUUAAUCUUCAACGAGGAAUGCUUAGUAAGCGCAAGUCAUCAGCUUGCGUUGAUUACGUCCCUGCCCUUUGUACACACCGCCCGUCGCUCCUACCGAUUGAAUGGUCCGGUGAAGCGUUCGGACCGUGGCCUUUGGACGGUUCGCCGUCUGUUGGCUGCGGGAAGUUCGUUAAACCUUAUCAUUUAGAGGAAGGAGAAGUCGUAACA